rnacentral:piRNA from 1 species
UUCUUAUUCCUGGAGCAAGCCUCAAAAACC